UGUCAGUAAUGUGAUAUUGUGUCAUAACAAAAUUUUCCCGAAUAACCACAUGAAUACUAUGUAGAAUUGGAAUAUAUGAAAUUAAAUUUGUCAAAAGGUCACGUUAUGAAACUUGCAAGAUGGACGAAUCAUUUAAAAGUCAUUAGAAGAAUCAGUCUAUUGGCUCAUCAUAACGUCCUCGAUAAAGAACAAAUUAAAUACUUAGGACAUUUAUAUAAAAGAAUGCAGUUAAAGAAAUCAUAACAAUACAAUACACAGUAUUAAUAGAUUCACUAGUUUCAACGUUGACUAUAAAAAAUAGACUUUUUAGUUUUCUCAAAAUAAAACAUUAUUUUUAUUGAUUUGUAUCAGAAAAUGAUCAAUAUAAAUUUAUGUGUAAAAAAUUUGUUGAACAUAA